AGAUGGCGACCGGCGCACGGGUGAGUAACACGUAUCCAACCUGCCGAUAACUCGGGGAUAGCCUUUCGAAAGAAAGAUUAAUACCCGAUGGCAUAAUAGAACCGCAUGGUUUGAUUAUUAAAGAAUUUCGGUUAUCGAUGGGGAUGCAUUCCAUUAGGCAGUUGGUGGGGUAACGGCCCACCAAACCUUCGAUGGAUAGGGGUUCUGAGAGGAAGGUCCCCCACAUUGGAACUGAGACACGGUCCAAACUCCUACGGGAGGCAGCAUG
rnacentral:rRNA from 1 species